rnacentral:lncRNA from 1 species
GGAAUCUUGGAGCGAUUCGAUGUGAGAAAGACUUGAUCAUAGUUGCUGGCUUUGACGAUGAAGGAAGGGGUCUGGGAGCCAAGGAAUGAAGAUGGCUUCUAGAAGCUGGGAAAGGCAAGGAAAUGAAUUGCCGCCAAGAACCUCCAGAAAGGAAUGCAGCCCUGUAAAAACCUUGAUUUUUGCUCAGUGAGAAUGAUUUCAGACUUCUGAUCUCAAGAACUAAUCACAUACUGUCACAAGACAUAACGAAAAGUGUGUGAAUUGUUGUUGGUGAGAAAACAUAAACAACCUUUGGGGAUGCGACUUUUCUUCAGUUGAGUAUGGACAUUGAACCUCUCCUAACGCUGUGUUCAAUGAUAAGACCAAGCCUAAGAUGUUUUAUGAUUUCCAGAAGUCAGUCAAUUAACAUUUGGAGAAUUCAAGGCCAUUAUCUCUCACAUCAAACACAUUCACUGAUGACUGAAGAUAAAAAAGAAACUCCAUAGGAAAUAUUAAAGGAUGUGAUGGCAGGUUUACAAUGCUGUUAAAAUAUAAAGUCUAAAAUGUAGUAUGUGGAGUUGUUUCGGAACUGACCUCCUACCCCAGCUCCGGUCACGACAGAAACUUUUAAGGAUCUUGAAUAAAUGAAGGUUUUUUUCUCCCAGAAUUGCUUCUUUAGUUUCUGCCUUAUUCCUGAGAGAACAGUGGGGUUCUAUGAGGAUGUCCAAUAAGGUGACUUGAAGGAGAACAACCGAUAGAAUCACAAUGACAGUUUAAUGCUGGGAGAUACAGAUAAGAGCUCGUCUGUAAUCACAAAAGCCCAGCAUCUCAGAGAAGGAAGGGCCCUUAGAAUUCCAGUGUAAAGCAGGAAAUCCUAUUGCCGCAUGCUGGACAGGCUGUCAUCCAGCCUCCAGUUGAACAUCUUCUGUGAAGCAAAGCUCACCACCUCCCAAGCACUUGCUAUUCCAUUGUUUGUUUCCAAUUUAACUUCCACCCAUACUCUCAG